CGAGACCUCAGCCACUUCGGCUCUCUCUCUCUCGUGGAAGGACAAGUUAUCAGUGAACGUGAGCGAUCUUGCAGCGAUGAAUUCAGUCGUCCAGCUUAACUUGCUUGAUUGUGCGAUGUCUUCCGCAGAUGAUCCGCCUUGAUGAGGGAUUCUACCCGUAGACGAUCGGGGCGAUGAUGUUAAUCUCGGCGCUGAAGAAUGAAGUUUGGGAAGGGCUGUGGAGAUGAAUCCUUAAGAGGAGGAGGAGGCAAAGCGAUUAAAGGUCUGUUCUGCACAGUUUCUGAUCUUUUCUGCCACCUUUUCACUGAUGAAAGCUGCUGCAUAGGAAGUGCCGUCUGAUGCGACAACUGACGAUUUUAAGCGUUUCUGAGAAAUGAGUUAAAACAUUUAAGGCUUUAUGAUGUACAACCUGAGGGUAAUAAUAUGGUCUAUCUUUCCUAGGUGCAGGCUGUCAGUCCUGAGAGGUGAUCUUGAGCUGAAAUGAGUCGUCGUUCCUGGUGACAGAAAUUGGUAAGUGCAUUAAAAUUUGCCUGUAUUUGCAAUCAAGCCAGUGAUGAUACAAGUUAUCCCUGUCUGAAAAAUCCCCUGUGGAGUUACGGUAACCUGAGGCUAGGCUCGUAGUGCCGUGCAGCAGAUUUCUACCGACUGAUGUUGUUCAGAUGGUUUUUCUUUUCUUCUGUCACUUUACAGAUGGAGCUGGUAAAACGAGUCGCCACAUAGCCAGUUUGGAUGAGUCGGGAGGCGCAGUGCUGAACCGGAUCAGGAGC